AGGAAAAACGCGAAAUUUCAAAAUUCCACCAGCAGCCGCGAAUUUCGGCAAAUAAUCCCGUCCAAAGUGAACGGUUCGACGUCGUGACCACUUCACCCGCUAGCCGACGCGGGCAGUUUCGUGAAAACGGUGAAAUUCGGUGAAAAACGGCGUCGUUUGAGGGUGGGAAAUCGUUUGGAAAUUUUGUUCUCUCGGUGACUUCAAUUCGAGCGCAGAAAAGAAGUCCAGCAUCCAAGUUGGCUUUCUUAUUUGAGAUUGCUUGUGAGUGUGUGUUCGUGCGUGGUUUGUGUUUUGGGUUAGCUUGUUUGUGGUUGUUGUUCCAAUAAGAUUUGAAGACAAGAGUGUUAGGAAAAAAAACAACAUUCGAAAUUGUGCUAGGGGAAAAACGGUGAAAUUUGUGCAACAAGGUUUUUGGGAUUUUGAGAAGAAAUUCUUGGAAGAUUUGCGAUUUUAAGUUGAGAAACAGUUUUAAAGUGUUUAAAACGUGGAAAUUUAAAUGGUUAAGCCACAGACUUAAUGACAGCUUUCUAGUUUGCGCUUGUGUGAGUGGUAAAUAAGCGAAAGGAAUGCAGACUUGAACGGUUCAAGACAACACCGAGGAACCAGGGAGUUGAGGAAGGGGGCAUCGCGAAAUAGCUCUCUCGAACCGUGGUGAAAUGGUUACGAAUUUCCACUAAUUUCGGUCAAUUUCUGGUGAAAAUGCACGGCCAUCGGCGGCGCAAGAAGCGGCCCAACUAUGGCCUGCGGACGGUCGAGGUGAACCGGGGUCUGCACGGGUUUGGGUUUACAAUAAGUGGUCAGCAGCCGUGCAUACUGUCGUGCAUUGUGGGCAAUAGUCCGGCGGAUUUGGCUGGGUUGAGGGCGGGGGAUUUUUUGAUUUCGGUCAACGGGUUGAACGUGUCCAAGUUGCCGCACGAGGCGGUCGUGCAGUUGAUUGGGAACACGUACGGGGCGAUCAAGAUGGCCAUCGCGGAGAAUUACUACUCGGACAGUUCGGACGAGGACGUGCUGUUCCAGGGAAGUCAGCAGCACCAGCAUCGGGUGCGGCCAAAGUACUUGAACCACAAGACCAAGUUCCACCAGAGGAUGACGACGGCGAAGCAGCACACGAGCAUGAACGGGCCGGCGGAUUUGGUGGGGACCUGCGAGGCGGCCACGGCCAUCGUGGUCAACGACUCUCCGACGGCGUACAACGUGAUUCACAGUCCGAACGCCAGCAAUAGCUGCGACAUUUCGAACGUUAGCGCCAUGGUACGGUCGGUCCAUCUGGAGGACGAGGAGGCUGGACCUUCGCAGCAGCCGCAACCGGAUCGAGAGAUUGCACUGGAGUACAAGGCCAUCGUCGGUUAUCUGGGCACGAUCGAAAUGCCCAAACAGAUCGCGACCAGCUCGAAGCUGCAAACGGUGCGGAGUUGCAUUCGCAAGAUGCGCCAAGAAAAGCGCAACCCCACGACGGUCUUGAUGACCAUUCUACCGUCCUGUUUGAACCUCAUCAACACGAGCAACGCCGUCAUCGCCAAGUACUCCUCCGUCCGGCUUAACUACGUCAGCAGCAGCAGCGAGAGCGACAAUCGCUACUUUGGCCUCGUCACGUCCGCGAUCUACGCCGACGGCCUCAUGUGCGAAAACUCCGACAUCCUGAACCAACGCAAGGACGUCGUCAUCUCCAACAGCUGCCACGUGUUCGUGAUCGACUCGCGAACCGUCGACCACGCGGCGCACCUCGAAAAGGCCGACCUCUUCCAGAUCCUCUGCACCAAGGACCCCAUCACGAACCUCUGUCUGGAGUUCCCCAGCAACUCAGAGUACGUGGUCAACCUGAUCCGCAGCAUGUACAACCUGAAGGCACCCCCACUCAAACCAGCCGAUUGCUCCUACGGCAAACCUCCAGUCGCGCGCAGUCUCAACCUGGACCGGCGUCCAAACCCUCGCGAAGACCCGCACGACCUGCUCGCCUCCAACUCGCCCCAGCCGAGCAACCACAGCGAAAUCACCACCACCUCUAGCAACUCCGACUCCGGCAUCGGCUUCCACAACGACUGCCGCAACAUCUCCGACCGCAUCCUCGUCGUGGACUUCCCCGGCAUCGCCGCCAACCACCAAAUCAACAACGUCCGCGCCCAUUUCCGCAAGUCCGUCCCCUUCGGCCGCCCCGUCGGCAUCAUCAACGAACUCCCCCAACCCCUGGACCCCAUCCGCAACAUCCGCUCCACAACCUCCACCGCAGCCGCCCCCCAAAUCUUCCACGGCAAGUCCAAAUCCGCCGACUACAGCUACCCAUCCACGUCCGGCCUCGACCGCCUCACCGUACGAGCCCGCCCCGACCCAAAAUCCUUCCCCCCCGACCGCUCCCCCAGCAAGGACAACGCCCUCAACCACGAAGCCCUCUUCCCCCAACAAACCGUCGACGACCUGGGCAACGUCGUCCAGGAGCGCCCCAUCGACAUCCCGCCCCAACUCGCCGACGAGGUCACCUUCCUCGACCUCCAACGCUACAACGCGGACAACGUCAAAAACUCGCUGCUGGCGCGCUCCUGCGACGACAUGAUCAUGACGCUGGAAAAGGAGCAGCCACCGAAGGCGGACGACGCCACCGAUCACAUCUUCCUGCAGCCCGCGAAGCCGCUCAAACGCUCCAAAAAAGCCUGCUCGCAUCGACCCAAACCGGCCGCCGCCGACGACGGUUCCAACAAACUGCUCUCGUACAAGCUUAGUCCGAAGGUGUUUGGCCUGGCGCGGCCACUUUCCGCGAGCUUCGAGAACAUUUCGCACGCCGCGGACGAGCUUUGUGGGGAAAAGGCGCGAAAAGUGGAAUCGGCGGAAGUUCAGCAGGAGCAGCAGCGGAGUAGGGCGGGAAGGUCCGCGAAGAGGCUAAGUGGUGGGUUUUCUGCGAUUUGGGGUAGUUUGCAGGAACUUAGAAGUGGUGGCGGUGCCAAACAGGGUGAGGGGAAGGAACUCGCGAUGGAGCAGAGUGUAGUGAUGAAGAAGCAGCAGCAGCAGCUGGAGAGGAGGCCGGUUCUGCCGGGAGCGUACAGUGAGCCGGAUCUGCGGUGUGAUGAGAACAAACAAAUCAACCCCAAUGCGUCUCCCUUCCGACGGUGGGGCCAGUCAUCGCUGCGGUCCCGUUCCGGCGAGCAGCGCACCCCUUCGUCCGCCCAUCGGCGCCCCUCGUCGCUGGCCGCGUCCGAAAGCGACGUCUACACCAAGUCCAUCGACGACGACUACAGCUCGACCAAGAGCGGCUACAAUCCGUACGCGGACGUUGCUGGGACGGCGGCCGUCGAGUCUGCACAGACUCAGGCGGCGGUUAGCAGCGGUCCGGCGGGGGUCGCUUCCUGGGGCACUUCGUUCGAGAAGCUACUGGAGGAUCCUGCAGGGCUGCACACGUUUUCGGAGUUUUUGAAGAAGGAGUUCUCCGCCGAGAACAUUUACUUUUGGACGGCCUGCGAGCGCUACCGGCAGCUGGUGGACCGCGAGGACCGUGCCAAGGAGGCGCAGGCCAUCUUUGCCAAGCACCUGGAGUCGGGCUGCAGCGAGCCCGUCAACGUGGACUCGAUCGCGCGGAACAUUGCCCAGGAGAAUCUGCCCCAGGCGGAGCAAACGCUUUUUGGGGCGGCUUCGAAGCAGAUUUUUAACCUGAUGAAGUUCGACAGCUACCAGCGGUUCAUCAAGUCGGACAUGUACCGGGCGUGCCAGGAGGCGGAAGCGAAGGGACAUCCGCUGCCGUACCCGGGCGAUCUGCUGGAUCCGCUGCUGAGGACGAGCUUUGCCGUGCAGGCGGCGGCCACCAAGUUGAAGAAGUCGCUGAGCAACGCCGAAGAUCGGCGGCGCAAGUCGCUGCUGCCGUGGCACCGGAAGACGCGCUGCAAGUCCAAGGAUCGGGGUGAUGCAGAGUUAAAGAAGGAGGGGGGUGGAGGGAAGUCGACGCUGUCGACGGGAGGGAGUGGGGGAGGAGGUGGGAAUGGCACGGGUGGGAGUAGCAACACGCUGAAGGUGCUCUCGACCAACUCGACCAGUGAUAUUCAUAGCUCUAGAAGUUCCUUAGCAAGUUUCGACGCCGCCAUCGGCAAGUCGUAUGACCAGGAGGACCAAACUCGGAACACGCUGUGCCGCGUGAUCCUGUCGAACGGCGCAACGACGGUGGUCCAGACGCGAUCGAACGAAACGAUCAAGGAGCUGGUCGAGCGACUGCUCGAGAAACGUGGCAUCGUGUACACCGCGUACGAGGCGUUCCUGGCGGGAAAUCACAAACCGCUCGACCUGGACGGGCCUUCGUCUAGUCUGGCCGGCAGGGAGGUGAACAUCGAUCAGCGGGUCGUGUUCAAGCUGAGCUUGCCCAACAGGAAGAUGAUUUCGGUCAAGAGUAAGGCAACGAAGCCGCUGGGGGACGUGUUGAGGCCGAUCUUGCUCAAGUACAACUACGAGCUGGACCAGAUGAACGUGUACUCGAAGGAGGCUUACCUGGACAUGACCUACCCGGUGACGAGCGUUGACGGGUUGUGGCUGCAGGUCAGGAAUGGAAACGAGAAUGACUUUCAUCAGGACUUGACCAGGACGAUCGCUUCGCGGUCGGAACGGGCGUACGCGAACCAGGUGCCGCCCCUUCCGAUCAUCGCUACCUCGCAGCACGCGCAGAUCAUCAACCACUUUCAGCAGCAGCUGCAGCACUCGCAACACAACGGGUUUCUGAACAACAACAACAACGUGACAAAAAAGUCCCAACUUGCGUACGGCGGCCAGUCCCACCACAACCUGAAGGGCAAGGACGAGCAACCGGCGGACGCAGCAGCGGCGGGUGGCAAGCAAGAGCUGAACAUGCUGGAUGAGAUCACCAACAAGGUGUUCAACGAGCUGAUGAAUGGCAAGAUCGCCAACGGUCCCAAAAUCCCGGCCGAGGAUUGCACCUCGGACAGCUCGUCGACGCGCAGGGGGGAUCGCUUCCGGCGGCGGGGAUCGAACGCCCCGUCGGAGAGUGGCCGCGGUGCCAAGAGCAAAAAGUGCUCGACGGCGGGCUCAGAGGACGGCGGUGAGAGCGUGGGAAAUGCGGUCACCGGCGUCAAGAAGCCCAUCAUUGCCAAGCUGAAGGCCGGCGUGAAGCUGCAGAUUCCGACGCGGUCGCAGAAUGACGAACUCCUAGAAGGCCUAAAGCGCGCCCAGCGCUCCCGCCUCGAAGACCAGCGCGGCACCGAGAUCAACUUCGAGCUGCCCGACUUUCUGAAAGACAAGGAAAACUUCACCAGCACGACGACCACAACCGCAGGUUCGAGUUCCGCGGCCACCGCGAUGGCCGCCCCCUCGUCCAAGUUCACCCGCAAGUUCGCCAAGCGGCCCGAGUCGGCCGAGUUCCCGCUGGGGGCCAGCACCAACGGUGGUUCGCUGCAGCAAAUCCACAAACCCCAACCGGCGCCCAGGUUGUCGAUUUCACGGGGAGGAGCUGCAACGGGUGCGACCGCGGGGGGGAACCCUUCGUCACCCCCGGUGCAGUCCGCGUCAAGCGAGAGCAACCUGAACAACCUGUCGCUGCGCUGUAACGCGUCCCCGCUAACGCUGGACGACAACGGGAACGGGUCCCAGUCGGAGAAUAGCUACGCAGGAAGCUUUUCGAGCGUUGUCGAAAUCGCCAUGCGCGUAAAGUGAUGCGAGGAGUUGCGGUUACCUUUCACCCCACGUACAAUUAGAACCAAAACCAAAAACAAAAUCUAAAUGAAGCCACCAUGAUCUUUACGCACGCUUCCGCCAACCCGCACCACUCCCCCGGCUCUUCCCCACCGUCAUCCCACCGCUACCAUCAUCU
rnacentral:misc_RNA from 1 species